AAGUGGAUGUAUAGAUCCAUGUAUUCUUGACCUUGGCACUGGUUUGAGAGACUUCCCAGAAUUACUUUAGCAAUACAUAGCAGUUCUCAACAGCCAGCAGAUAUAUUUACAGUUGUCAUUCAGUCUCUUACAGCUGAAGGCAUUGUGGCAUGGACAGGGCUACAAGAUGGCUCUGUCAGGUCCACUGUCAGAAUUGGAUAAUUGGAGCUGAAUUUGCUGAAACACUGAAAUUUAAGAAGAGCUAAUGGUGUAGCACUUGUAUACUCAGAGGUGUUCUUGCAGUUCAUGGCCUCCUUAUUGAUGCAGUCACAGAACUGUUUAGAAGUAAAAGGUUCAGCCAGUCAGCAAAAUUUCAGAGGAGAGGAAACCAGGCGUUCCUGCUUUCCGUAAGGACUUCCGCCUCUCCAGAGCAGUCAGUCACCAACAGUGAGUAACAGGAGUGAGUAGCCAAAAGGGAGUAACAGGAGUAACCUCCCGGACGUUAAAUCGGCGUUGGCCCGAAUCCGGUGUACAAAUUCAAAGUGCUACAGCCUGGUAAAGUGUAAUUGUAGUGCACAUCUACAAUAAAAGCAACAGAGUUGGUGAAGUGUGUUUUUUCAGUGUUCUCUCUCCUUGUGUGAGCAAGGCCCAGAAGUCGCCCUGAGACAGAAUCUGGUCCUACCU